rnacentral:rRNA from 1 species
UACAGAGGUCUCAAGCGUUGUUCGGAUUCAUUGGGCGUAAAGGGUGCGUAGGCGGCGCGGUAAGUCGGGUGUGAAAUCUUGGAGCUUAACUCCGAAACUGCAUUCGAUACUGCCGUGCUUGAGGACUGGAGAGGAGACUGGAAAUUUACGGUGUAGCGGUGAAAUGCGUAGAUAUCGUAAGGAAGACCAGUGCGAAGGCGGGUCUCUGGACAGUUCCUGACGCUGAGGAGCGAAA